rnacentral:tRNA from 1 species
GGUUCUGUAGCUUAAUUGGUUAAGUAUCAUUUUGUCACAAUGAAGGUUAUCUGUUCGAAUCAGGUCAGAAUCG